rnacentral:rRNA from 1 species
CCCGGUAAACGGCGGCCGUAACUAUAACGGUCCUAAGGUAGCGAAAUUCCUUGUCGGGUAAGUUCCGACCUGCACGAAUGGCGUAAUGAUGGCCAGGCUGUCUCCACCCGAGACUCAGUGAAAUUGAACUCGCUGUGAAGAUGCAGUGUACCCGCGGCAAGACGGAAAGACCCCGUGAACCUUUACUAUAGCUUGACACUGAACACUGGUCCUUGAUGUGUAGGAUAGGUGGGAGGCUUUGAAGUGUGGACGCCAGUCUGCAUGGAGCCAUCCUUGAAAUACCACCCUUUAAUGGCU